rnacentral:rRNA from 1 species
GAUUGAACGCUGGCGGCAGGCCUAACACAUGCAAGUCGAGCGGAUGAAGGGAGAUUGCUCCUGGAUUCAGCGGCGGACGGGUGAGUAAUGCCUAGGAAUCUGCCUGGUAGUGGGGGAUAACGUCCGGAAACGGGCGCUAAUACCGCAUACGUCCUGAGGGAGAAAGUGGGGGAUCUUCGGACCUCACGCUAUCAGAUGAGCCUAGGUCGGAUUAGCUAGUUGGUGGGGUAAAGGCCUACCAAGGCGACGAUCCGUAACUGGUCUGAGAGGAUGAUCAGUCACACUAGAACUGAGACACGGUCCAGACUCCUACGGGAGGCAGCAGUGGGGAAUAUUGGACAAUGGGCGAAAGCCUGAUCCAGCCAUGCCGCGUGUGUGAAGAAGGUCUUCGGAUUGUAAAGCACUUUAAGUUGGGAGGAAGGGCAGUAAGUUAAUACCUUGCUGUUUUGACGUUACCAACAGAAUAAGCACCGGCUAACUUCGUG